rnacentral:tRNA from 1 species
GCCUUUGUGGUGUAGUGGUCAGCACACUGGACGUGUAUUCCAGAUGUCCGUAGUUCGAGUCCCGGCGAAGGCA